rnacentral:lncRNA from 1 species
AACAAUCCCACAGCUGCAAGAAAAAGGAACAAACAUUAGUCAUGUAUAAUUUUCCUUCCAUGCACUUCAACUAAUCAUAUAAGACAAAUAGUCUAACAAUCCCACAGCUGCAAGAAAAAGGAACAAACAUUAGUCAUGUAUAAUUUUCCUUCCAUGCACUUCAACUCAUCAAUCGAAUCAUCACACAAUGACGAUUUUUCGGAGAACUCCUUCACUAGGCAUGUAAGACGAGAAGAGUCUACCAACUCCACAACUUCAAUAACCUAAGCUAUCACCCAUAACACUAAGCUUGGCAAACUUCACAUAUAGACAACAACUCAUAAUUCUUACCCCCUUGCUUUGUUCUGUUCUUAGAUUUUUUUUAUGUAUUUUUUCCGUUUGUUUGCUGCUAGGCCUAGGAGUCUUUGUUUCUGUUUUUGGCUUGCUGUAUUUUUGUUACAUUGACGCCUUCAAUCUAACGAAAGACAAACAGUCGGUUGUAUGUCGGAAAAAAUACCAUAAUUCUUGAUUACGGUAUCAGCAGUCAGUGAAGCCCAUGCAUACAUGAAGUUCCUCUAGAACAGCUCGUUAAACAGUCUUUGAGCUUGUAACCCUUUUCAGGUUGAAGCUUAAGCCUCACCUAACAGCCCCCCAAACCCACAUUCUUCAUAAGUUUCCAUUGACCCAUAUGAUUGCAAAAACAAAUGUGAUCCCAGUUAGGGAAGAAAAAGGCAUAAAAGUAAUUGGUUACCAUGAAUUCAAGGCUACCUUGAUGACAACCAUGCGAUAUGAAAAAUACAGAAGGACAAACUUGUUUGGUAUUGCUGUGGAUUUUGAAACAUACUUACUUCCUAUAGAUUUUAACAUACUAGUUAGUUAAUAGCAUAUUUUUUGGAGUUACAACAACCAAAUCUUGCUAGAACUAAUAAGACUGGCAAGUCGAAAGCAUGUUUUUGGAUCUACAACAAGAAAAUCUGUCACUAACUAGAUUUUCCACAGCGCAGCACUGCAACACAAAAACUGGGCCAUAGAGGGUGGAUUACCUGACUGGACAUCGACCCAUGAUUGUUUGAUGCCCUCUUCUAUGGUAUCAAGUUGAUCUCUAAUGUACUGCAGCAUACAGAAAAUAACUGGAUCAUAAGAAAAUGACACUAAAAAUAGCGCAUGUUGUGACAAGAGUAAUGGAAGCGGUUCUAUUUAUCAAGAUUAAAAAUGCCGGUAAAAUUAUUAAACUUUUAUGAAGUCAUAACAUGAAAAUUAGGGAUGACAAGAGGGAUUGUUUGAGCGGGUAACGCUAUCCAAAACCUAGCAACAUAAGCCAGGUACUUGUCUGGCCCUCCUUUCAUAGACAACCGGUAUGGUACUAACCAGAAUGGUACUAAACUGGAUGUGCGACAUGCUGGAAAGGGUAUAGCUGGAUGUUCGUGGGCAGUGGGUUGCUAAGAGCUACUCUCUCCAUCCCAUAAUAUAAGAGCGUUUUUGACACUACACUAGUAUAA